CCAAUGGACUGUGAUAGUCUCGUCAGUUUUUGUCUUUACUCGAUUUGACAGUAGUUUGACAUUUAUGUUCAAUUUAAUCUCCAAGUGAACAUUUUUGAUAACUCCAAUAGAGUACUUGGAUUAUUGUUCGAAGUAAUUGAUAAUAUGGAAAACAGUGCAGACAAAGAAGAACAAGGCAAUCAGGAUGACUCGGAUUCAGAAGUAGACGAGAUUGAACCUAGGUUAAAGUACAUUAGAAUGCGAAAUGAUCUGGAACAGAUUUUACAAAAUGAUGCUGCCAGCUGCAUCGCUGUACAUACAAAGUUCCUAUGCCUUGGUUCACAUUGGGGCAUGAUCCACCUUCUUGACCAUCAGGGUAAUAAUAUACAAUCGAAAACGCUUCAGGCGCACGCAGUUGCUGUCAAUGAAAUAUCUAUAGAUCAAAAUGGAGACUAUAUUGCCUCUUGCAGUGAUGAUGGAAAAGUUUAUAUUUAUGGACUAUAUAGUUCUGACGAUAAUCUCAAUAUGAGCAUGGGUAGGCUUGUAAAAAGUAUAGCGAUUGAUCCAAAAUAUUACAAAAGUGGUAGUGGCAGACGGUUUAUUACAGGUGAUGACAAACUGGUUUUAUACGAGAAGACCUUUCUGUCACGUGUGAAGCCUGUUGUUCUCUGCGAGGCCGAAGGUGGUGUCAGAUCUACAGCAUGGGCUGGAGAAUUUGUAGCUUGGGCAUCGGACAUUGGUGUCAGGAUAUAUGACUUAAAUGCAUGCUGUUCCUUAGGACUUAUUAAAUGGACUCGAUCGGCAGAUGCUUUACCAGAGCACUACAGGUGUAACCUUCGAUGGUCGGGUGAUAGGACAUUACUCAUCGGGUGGGUAGAUACUGUUCGUGUCUGUCAAAUAAAAAAACGACUCAUGCAGGACAUUACAAAUCGAGACUUGCCUGAGUACUUCGUGGAUCCAGUGUCAACGUUCCAAGUUGAUUUUUACAUAUCCGGUAUUGCCCCGCUUGAUAAUCAAUUGGUUCUGCUGGGUUGUUCAAAGGAAUUGGAUGAAAAUGGCAAAAGUCAGCGUCCAACCUUGCAAGUCAUCGAACCAAAAUAUCAGGACUUCUCCGAGAUUUGUGCAAAUUCUCUCACGCUGCGUGGCUAUAAAGAGUACGGAUGUAACGAUUAUCAUUUAGAUUGUUUGGUCCACGAAAACAGAUUCUUCAUAGUGAGUCCGAAAGAUAUCGUCAUUGCCAGUCUGUACGAUGCAGAUGAUCGGAUUGAAUGGUUGCUUGCUCAUAAAAAGUUUGAAGAAGCUCUGGAAGCCGUGAUGACCAACGACGGUAAAGAUUGUAAAAAGCACUCUUUGAUAUACGUUGGUCGAAUAUAUCUGGAUCACCUUUUAAACUCUGGCAAAUACGACGAAGCCGGUAAGCUGUGUUUGAAGGUUUUGGGUCGGGAUAAGAAGCUCUGGGAGGAAGAGGUGUACAAAUUUGCAAGAGUUCAUCAACUGCGUUCAAUCUCUUCAUACCUUCCUAGGGGUGACGUUAUCUUGGACCCUAAUGUUUAUGAAAUGGUACUCUUCGAGUAUCUUAAUAUGGAUCCUGAGGGCUUCUUGCACCUCGUAAAGGAAUGGUCACCGAAACUGUAUAACGUUGCUGCGAUAGUAAAUGGUGUUAUUGAUCACAUCAUCCAAAACCCUCAUCAGACUGCUCUCCUAGAAGCUUUAGCUAUUCUGUACAGUCACGAAGGAAAAUACGAUAAAGCUCUAGCUAUGUACCUGAAACUUCGACAUAAGGAUGUGUUUCAACUAAUUCAGAAACAUCAGCUCUGCUCUUCGAUCCAUGACAUGAUCGAGGGGCUCAUGAACCUAGAUGCAGAGAGAGCGAUACGGUUCUUCCUGGAGAAAGAUAGAAUCCCAUCGGACGUUGUUGUCGAAAAGUUGAAAAACAAUCAUUGGUACCUAUACAUGUAUUUGGAUGCUCGAGACAAAACGGACACGAAAGAUUCAAAGGGGAAAUACCAUGGACUUUUAGUUCGCCUCUAUGCCGAUUACUCCAGAGACAAAUUACUACCAUUGCUUAGACGUUCGGAUAAUUAUCCAAUACAACAGGCUCUGGAUAUUUGCAGUCAAAGGUACUUUUAUCCAGAAAUGGUUUAUCUCCUGGGCAGGAUUGGCAAUACCUCAGAAGCAUUAGCGCUUAUGACUCGAAAACUCAAUGACAUGGAAAGUGCUAUUGCUUUCUGUCAGGAACACGAUGAUGAAGAACUCUGGAACGAUCUGGUUAAUUACUCUUUGGAUAAACCAGAGGCAAUUACGUUUCUGCUUCAGAAAAUAGGAACGUAUGUAGAUCCUAGGUUAAUAGUACAGAAAAUAGAACCGUCGUUGGAAAUACCUGGCUUGAAGAAAGCGCUCGUCAAAAUGAUGAGGGAUUACAACCUUCAGGUAUCUGUGCAAGAGGGGUACAAAAAAAUCUUGUCGAGUGACUAUUUUAAUCUACAUGAUAGACUCGUUCGAUCCCACCAAAAAGGGAUUUUUAUGGAUGACGAUCAGAUGUGUGGCGCGUGUCAACGUAAGAUCAUCGUGAGAGAGCCACGGAAUCUAGUCAUAUUUUAUUGCAAACAUUCCUUUCAUGAAGAUUGUUUACCGAAUUUAAAAUUGUUGGAUAACUGUGUGAUAUGCAAUCCACAAAAGGACACCUCACCGGGUAGAAAAUGAUACAUCUGUGAAUCGGAAGUGUUCCAAUACUACAAGUUCGAUAAUCUGGUCACAAGUUAUUGAAACAAAGGAUAGAUUUAGAGGAUCGAAUUGUAGAUCUUACUCUAUGCACUGGACAUGGCUUGCUUAGUCUUUGGCAGCCUUCGCAUGUUUUUACGCAGUCAAGAAAGUGGGUGUGGAUCUCAUCGGAAUUAC
rnacentral:misc_RNA from 1 species